CAUUGACAGUCGAAAAGAGAAGACGAGCAAGCACUUGAUGGUGGUGUCUGAGACAAGUGCCAACCGGUUCUUGCUUCACUUCGUGAUAAGCAAAAAGCAAAUGGCGUCGUUGCUACCGCUGUCGGCGACGGCCCGAAAUUGUUAUGGCAAGCAAUUUGGGCCACAGCAGAGACUCAUGCUUCUGCAUCGCUUCGUUACAGAGCGCGCUCAUACACACAAGAAGUCGCGCAUUCAAAUUGGCAACGUCUUCUUCUCAGAAGAAGAAGAAGUGGUAAAAGAAGAGGAAAAAUGUGAAGAACUGUGAGCGUCGGAGUGUAAUAAGGACACGAGCGGCGAAGGAGCGGUGGCCCCCGAGAGAUGGUACGCUCGUGGGUGACUGGCAAGCCGGUUUGAGGAUGAGAGUGCUUCUGUUUU
ensembl:ncRNA F18A1.10 ncRNA